GCGCCUAGCUCAGUGGAUAGAGCGUCUGUUUCCUAAGGCCGUAGGUUCGACCCCUACCUGGCGCG
rnacentral:tRNA from 1 species